rnacentral:lncRNA from 1 species
CACUUUACCAUGACCAAUCAGGGGAUGCUAGACCCCUUAAUGCUUUUUAUAAAUCCACCAAUUUUCUGUUCCCCUUUCACACACAGAAUCCUGGACCACAUGGGCUUUGAGUUUGGACUAAUGAAGAGCUUGCUACAGUUCCUUGAUGACAUGGGUCCACCGGAAAGAGUAUGAAAGAACAUUCACUUUAUGAGCACAAUUCUCCCGUCGGGGGCGGCUUUACUCAGUGCCCGAGGAAGGAGAAAAAGACCGGGCGAGAAACAAAGUUUGGGCGAGAAGCCAGCCGAGGAGCAGAACCUAUUCGCCUUUGGGGAAGUGUUUUUUCAGGGGGAAAUCGGCCUCAGCAGGUGGGAGAAAAGGCGCCACCCAACCUUCCCACGUCGGGACUCCGCGGGACUCGAGGGCCGGAGGAACCCGCGGAGGGGAAAGGGCGAGCACUGAAAACCGGGGGCGCGGAGACAUUCAUCCCCCUCUGGACAGGUUCUGCUUUCCUAGGCGUUUAAUCUCUUCGAUGGGCUGAAAAGAAUUUCUCAGCUUUCAGAAUUUCCGUGAGGAAAAUUUUCCUGCCGUCUUGACCCCCUCAGCCCUCCCAGCCCCCCUCCGAGACUGCGUCCACCCUCUGCAUCCCACCCAGUCCUCAUCACUGCUCGGGAACCGUGGCAGAAAGACACCCUGCGACCCUGAGGUGCCCACCCUCCAUCCGAGCUCUCUAAACCCAGGGUUUAGCAAAGCCGACCCCCCCCCGGGGCGCCGAGGGUGGUCACGGCUGCCCGUCCCGUUCCUUCCCCCGCGGUGCCGAGCUGGUGGGGCACAGGAGGAGGAGGAGGAGGAAGAGUUGUCCCCCGAUGUGUGGGAAAGCAGGGGCUCGGAGGGAUGAAGGACACCCGGCCGCCCCGCAGAUGGGGCGGGAGCGGCAACAGCCCCGUCGGAGCUGCGCGGACACCGCGGCGAUUAAACCUGCACAAAGACACGCUCCGCGUAUAAUAAUAGCGCCGGUUGUGUAAGUGUCAGCCCCCGAGUACUUCCACCCAGUGUUUGUGUGGGUAGACUUUGCUUUUCCUACGCCAGAUGACAAUGUUAAAGAUUUUUAUCCCCUCCCAGCUCCGCACAGCUCCAGCUGAACUUCCCGGAGCAUCAAAAUAAACCCCCUACAGCGGUCA